rnacentral:rRNA from 1 species
GACAGAGGUCCCGAGCGUUAGGCGGAAUCACUGGGCUUAAAGCGUGUGUAGGCGGACUUGUAAGUACCUUGUGAAAUCCCACGGCUUAACCGUGGAACUGCUCGGUAUACUGCGAGUCUUGAGCCACUUAGGGGCUACCGGAACAAAUGGUGGAGCGGUGAAAUGCGUAGAUAUCAUUUGGAACGCCAAUGGUGAAAACAGGUAGCUGGGAGUGUGCUGACGCUGAGACACGGAAAGCCCAGGGGAGCAAAACGGG